UUAUGUGAUCGUCUCUCGCAUAUCAAUAAGCGGAGGAAAAGAAACUAACAAGGAUUCCCCUAGUAACGGCGAGUGAAGCGGGAAGAGCUCAAAUUUGAAAUCUUAAAGGGUUUCCCUUUACGAAUUGUAGUUUAAAGAAGUGUUUUCUGUUGAGGUUUUGGUAAAAGUUCUUUGGAAUAGGACAUCAUAGAGGGUGAGAAUCCCGUAUUUGACCUUUACUUUCAACUUUGUGAUACACUUUCAAAGAGUCGGAUUGUUUGGGAAUGCAGUCCAAAAUGGGUGGUAAAUUUCAUCUAAAGCUAAAUAUUGGCGAGAGACCGAUAGCGAACAAGCACCGUGAGGGAAAGAUGAAAAGAACUUUGGAAAAGAGAGUUAAACAGUACGUGAAAUUGUCAAAAGGGAAGCGUUUGACACCAGUGUUGUUUUUCUGAAAAUCAAUUAAAGAACUGUUUAUGCUAAGUUGUUUAGACUUUAUCAGCUAACUGUUUAGUUUUGAGCUUUUCUUUAAUGCACUUUUCAGUUAACAAGUCAACAUCAAUUUCUUUUGCUGUAAAAAAGCUUGAGGAAGGUGGCUUGAGAUUCGUCUUAAGUGUUUAUAGCCUCUUGCCUAUGCAGUCGGAGAGAUUGAGGUCUGCAGCGUAGAUCCUUCGGGGCUAAAUGUAUUUGUGCUAAGUUAUAGCAUUUUAUAGACAACUUGUUGACUAUGAUUUGUCUUGUAGCUUACUCGCUUAUGUUAUUUUACCUACGCUUAGGAUGUUGAAGACUCUACAGAGAUA
rnacentral:rRNA from 1 species